rnacentral:rRNA from 1 species
UACGUAGGGGGCAAGCGUUGUCCGGAUUUAUUGGGCGUAAAGAGCGUGUAGGCGGCCAGGUAGGUCCGUUGUGAAAACUCGAGGCUCAACCUCGAGACGUCGAUGGAAACCCUCUGGCUAGAGUCCGGAAGAGGAGAGUGGAAUUCCUGGUGUAGCGGUGAAAUGCGCAGAUAUCAGGAAGAACACCCGUGGCGAAGGCGGCUCUCUGGGACGGUACUGACGCUGAGGAGCGAAAGCAUGGGGAGCGAACAGG